AAUUCUCAACCAUCCCUCGAUUGAUUUUUCGAGGUUUGGCUUGGAUUUUGGGAGCUGCCGGCGACCGAUCGGGUCUUUGGCUCUCCUCAAAAGCAUUAGCGACGGCGGUGUGACCUCCCCCGUGCAUGAACGGCCUUCGACGUGAUAAUGAUCGUCGUGGGCUGGAGUGCUAGCGGGCGUCGCGUCGCGUUCGGCGCUUCUAAUUCUCGUCGAAAGACGAAAUAUAUCGAA
rnacentral:misc_RNA from 1 species